UUGGGAAAUAACCUUCCUGUAUUAAGUGGACAGCGGAUGCACAGCCUUAUAAAAGUGUUUGCGUCUAACGUCUCAAUCAUAUUGUUUAAACAACGUUGACAACGCAUUAUCGAAAGAAAAACAAUAUUUAUUUUAUUUAUUUUGUUGGGUUUAAAGUCGCACCGACACAAAGAAAAACAAUAAGCUGAAGAUAUCUAUUGUCAUGCAAACUAGAGCCAUCGUUUACUUACUGAUAAGCCUUAUAGUCCUACAAAUGAUGUUAGAAACUGCUGGUCGGCCACAUAUGAACUGUUGCAGGUUUAGAAGAUGUCCACGAGGAAAAAGAUGCGUUAAUAUUGGCUCUCGAUGUCGUUGCAAGAGCAACCGGGUUAUUACGGACUUUUUCGACAUGCUUAAACGACCUACAAAAAGACCAAGAUAUCUACACAAGUACUAGAACUCUCAGACCGAACUAAUGAUAUCGGUCUUUUCAACUGUGAUAAUGAAAUUAUAUAUAUAGUACUGUGUUGUAAGCUCGUCGCACCAAUAUUGGAGGCAGUAUGCUCUGGUCUAGUCACGCUAUACAUUAAGACUGCGUGGUAAAUAGAGUUCACUGAGAUGCGAGCUUUGCUCGUACGAUAUCUACAUGAACUGAGAUGACAUUGUGAUCUCUACACCCUUUGCGAUGUGAUAAAAAGAUUUUUCGCUGUGGUAAAACAAACAUGAAUUCUGCACGCCAUGUUUUCAGAAUGAAAUAUUCUGUCUGCGAUAUAUGAGGUCCGAAAGUUCUCUACUGUUAUAUGUGCACUUCAUACUUCGAUAACAUGAAAGUCAAACACAAGAAGGGUGUUAAUUCAUCAAAAAUGCGAUAUUUAUCAAUUCUAGACAUUCGAAGAAUGAUAAACCUGCCAUUGUAGUACAUUACAUCCUCUAGUCCCUAGUAUAGUCACUGUGACGUUUAACUGUCUUUACUUGCUGGAUAAUUUUACAUAUCUUUUAAAUGAAAAUAUUUGUAAUUAUACAUUUUACUUACUGUUGUGUGUUUUACAUUAAUGUACAGCUGGUCAGUAUAUGAUUUAUUUUUUAAAUCAAUUUUGAGUAUAUUUUAAUGUGUCAAUUCUGUUUUACAUAUUUUCGUCAGUCUUUACAGUAUUAUACCUUAAUUAAAAUUUUUACCUUAA